rnacentral:misc_RNA from 1 species
UUAAAAUUAGGAAACUGACUCUGGAUAAAAGACUGAUCCUCUCAUGUAGCUUCCUCCUCAGGCAAAUGAAGCCAUUUAAUGAGGCCUUGAAGGACUUGCUGCUGUUGCCUGGUUACAGUUCUUGUCUUCAACACCCUCUCAGGAGCUACCACAAUCAUGUCAUCCUGAAAAGUGGGAAGAUUUUGGACUACAAGAGUACCUUC